UACUGUUUAUUAAAUCAUAGGCUUUGCAUGUCCUGUCAAAAAUAUCAAUACAAGUAUUGAAUAUAGCAGAGGGAAGCCACAUCUACAGCAGCGGAGUGCACUUCUGCCGAUGAUGAGACCGUGUCGCUGGACUCCAGAAGGCUCGAGGAUCCUGACAUUGGGCAGCCUGAUAAGCAGCCUGGUAACAUAAUAUCUCUACACAACGCAUCUUAAGAGACAGAUCGAGCUGACAGAAGUCAAGAUUGAUGUGAACAAAAGAAAGCUGCAGGACAUGGACCUUGAGAUGCAAAUUAAACGAAAGACACUGAGGAAACUGGAACUGGAAAUCCCGAAACUAGAAAGAGAAGUGACUUCAGUUCAUACUGUAACCAUGACUGUAACACAAUGUAUUAAUCAUCAUAAUUUUUUCUCUCCAAAGCUCCAAGCUGACAA